rnacentral:rRNA from 1 species
AUUGAACGCUGGCGGCAUGCCUUACACAUGCAAGUCGAACGGUAACGCGGGGCAACCUGGCGACGAGUGGCGAACGGGUGAGUAAUGCAUCGGAACGUGCCUGGUAGUGGGGGAUAACUGCUCGAAAGAGCAGCUAAUACCGCAUACGACCUGAGGGUGAAAGGGGGGGAUCGCAAGACCUCUCGCUAUCAGAGCGGCCGAUGUCGGAUUAGCUAGUUGGGGGGGUAAAGGCACACAAAGGCAACGAUCCGUAUCUGGUCUGAGAGGACGACCAGCCACACUGGAACUGAGACACGGCACAGACUCCUACGGGAGGCAGCAGUGGGGAAUUUUGGACAAUGGGCGCAAGCCUGAUCCAGCCAUGCCGCGUGAAGGAUGAAGGCCUUCGGGUUGUAAACUGCUUUUGUACGGAACGAAAAGGUUUGGCCUAAUACGCUGAACUCAUGACGGUACCGUAAGAAUAAGCACCGGCUAACUACGUGCCAGCAGCCGCGGUAAUAC